rnacentral:tRNA from 1 species
UAAAUAUCUAAAUUAAGUAUGUCAUUUACAAUGAUAAGAUGUUUUAAAAAUAAACUUUAUUUAAUUUAAUUUAUUAAUAUAAAAUAUUUUUUU